rnacentral:lncRNA from 1 species
CAUUACUGUAUCUGGUUCAUCUGGAUUCCUGCACUUAUGCUUGAUUUUCCUGGAGAUUUCUGCCUUUCUUAACCCCACUCUGUCUCACAAGAAUCCUGUCAUUCUUACAGAGACUUUGUGCUAGGUUUUAAACUUACUGUAACAAAGCCCAUAAGACCCAGCUUCUUAUUUUACAUCUGCAUCAAACACAUAAAAGGAAAACCAGUCUAAAGUUACCAAUUUGUAUUCUGUACUUUUAUAUAGUCUUAUAUUCUAUGCUCUUAUAAAUCAUCUAUAUGAAAACUUUCUACAUAAAUAGUGGACCAGAACAUGGCUGAAUUGCAAAACAAUGCAAUCAGACAUUAACCCUCCAAGGUAAGUAGUGCAGAGAAUGUAAGUGUGUAAGGGAUGUGUGGGCAAAAUUGCCUGCAUCUGAUUUAUUUGGGCAAAAAGGUGUUACCUCAUUAUCCUUUACUGCUACUGUAAAAUGGAAAAAAAGAAAGUUUAAAGAGUUCAGACUUUGUUUUUCCCAGUUUGUGAGCAGUGAUAUACAGAAGAAACCUUUUUUUUCCCUUCAGGUUUUUUUUUGAGGCAGUUCAAUAACAUUUCAAGGAUUUCUGAGUGCAGUGAAGAACCAGCACACUAAAAAGCAGACUGUGCAGGGAUACUCCUGCAUUGCCUUGCAUCAUCCAAACAGUCUAAACACCGAGCAAGAACCCUUUUCUGCUGCUUAUAUGGUCCUCAUCUUGACCUCCACCAGCCAAGCUGUGCACCUGGGUUUCACAGAGCCAGCAUACCAGGAAACUUCUUGGGACUUCAUCUAAAAUUACCCCGUGAAAUGGCAACCCCAGCUCUCUAUCUAUUUAGUCCUGGGCAGGUCCCUCCCAGGAGUGGUGUACCCUUAUUCAAGACGGUUCCUAUUUCCUGUGCGGCUUUCAUUACAAACACGAGCUCCUGUUUUGUGGGGUUGGGUUAUUCUGGGGGGAGCAGUGGUUGGUUGUAAAUCCAAAAGCAGUACAGCUUCAGUAGAUCACAUCCUGUCACUCUGAAUUUAAAGAGUACUAAUGUCUUCUUGUCUUACCUUCUUCAAGCACCUUAGAUUUUCAUUAAGACACCACAUAUAUUUUAAGGCAAUGGUACAGAUUAUCUGACUUAUCUUUUGCUUCAAUAUUUUGACAAUAGGAAAAUAGAAAAUUAGAUGAAUAUUAACAAUCACAAUUUUUGGUGACACAGAUGAGAAUCUCAGUGACAGUAACUGUUGAUAACAAUAUGGACUAGUUCAGAAAGUAUCCAGACUUUUACACUGAAGAUGUAUAAGAUGUACACUAGAUGUUAAUAAAAGUUGCAUCACUAAUUAAAUACUUUGGCUA